rnacentral:rRNA from 1 species
CGUUCCCGGGUCUUGUACACACCGCCCGUCACACCACGAAAGUCGGCAACACCCGAAGCCGGUGGCCUAACCCGCAAGGGAGGGAGCCGUCGAAAGGUGGGGCUGGCGAUUGGGGUG